GUUUACUGAUAAAAUAGAAGGCAGAUGGUCUCCUGCAAUUUGUUAGAAACUUCGUGGAGCUCAGGAGGAGGAGGAGAAGCCACAAUAAAGGCGCCUGAUCACACCUGGCCUGUGGCGUGCCCCCUCCCCACGGGAACCGUGAGAAACAAACUGUCUUUUCAAUGGACACAGGAAGCAUUUUCCUUCCAGUUAUUAAUAGAACUCAAGACUACAAAAACAGUCACCAAAGCUCUGAGCAUCUCCAAGUGGCUCAUUAAAGGUGUUAGAGCCUCAGGGACAACAACCUCAGGAUGUAUCCAUCUGGGGUUCCCUGGUGAGGCAUGAACUGCUCACCUGUCAAUACUCAGAUUCCCAUGCCAGCUGGAAGCGUGCCCACAGCACCCUUCUCCCCUCUGGCCCCGUGAGCAUGAGCAUGGAGAAGCAAACGUAACGUGCCCAGCAAGGCCGACAUUCUCGGCUGUGAGCAGCGACCAAGACAGACAUCAGGAGGACGCUGACAAAGUGGAAUGCCUGCUGCAUGACAGAUCCCUUCAGUGCAACGAUCCUUUCUCAUACAGCAUCCAAAAUCAUGCCUUCCUGAAAAUACAGCCCAUUUUGACAAAUAGAUG
ensembl:lncRNA